rnacentral:rRNA from 4 species
GCUGGAUCACCUCCUUU